rnacentral:rRNA from 1 species
UACGUAGGGGGCGAGCGUUGUCCGGAUUUAUUGGGCGUAAAGAGCUCGUAGGCGGUUUGGUAAGUUGGAUGUGAAAUCUCCAGGCUCAACUUGGAGGGGUCAUUCGAUACUGCCAUGACUAGAGUUCGGUAGGGGAGUGUGGAAUUCCUGGUGGAGCGGUGAAAUGCGCAGAUAUCAGGAGGAACACCCGUGGCGAAAGCGGCUCUCUGGGACGGUACUGACGCUGAGACGCGAAAGCGUGGGGAGCGAACAGG